UUCAUUUUCAUCAACAAUAACAACAAUGAUAGGCAUUAGGCAAGACAGAAGUACAACACCUGGUUGUCGUUUCAAAGGGGAACUAAAAUUUUGGGGAUGGUGCGGCUAUGAAGUAUGAUUUAUGAAUCACAUUAUUUAAAAAUAUUAAAAUUAAAAUCAUGAUGAAUGCUAAAAACCUAAAAAAAAAAAAAAAAAAAAAAAAAAAAACAAGAAAAACCAUCAUUAAUUAAAUGGUAUAGAUGAAUGGAUGGAUAGACACACCAAUUUUUUUUUGAAAAAGCUAAGUGAAUAUAUUAAACAACUAAGAGAAACCCUUCUAGCACAAGAUGUAUUAGAGGAAACUUAAAAAUUUAAAACCUACAAGAAUUACAAAAUAGGUUGUAAGCACAAUAAAACAACGUUCAACCGAGUAAUCAAAUGUAAUAUGAUUUUAACAAAGGCUUGCCAAUUGUUAACAUUUUCAAAUGUUGCCAUAUAAUAUAGUAAUCUUAUAUUCAACUGGUGAACAAAUUCUAUUUAUAAUCAACUAAUAUGAAAAAAUUCAGUCCAUCCACCAUAUGCUUAAUAAAAGGCUUAAUUUUAUUUUGGUCCCAAUAUUUUCACUAAUCACAAUUUUUUUUUUUCUAUUUUAAAAUCAUUCAGCUUUGGUGCCUCCAUCCAAAUUUUGUUGUAGCAAAAUAGUGAUUUGAUAUCUUUUGAAUAACGUAACAUACGACCCGAUUAUGUGAAGUGAUCAACAAUCAUAUAAUUAUAAGAAAAAUUAUUUUAGUUUCAAAUUAUGUUUCACAAAAAAAUACAAAAAUCUAAUGAAGGAAUCAAAACUGAAUGAUUUUAAAAUAUGGGAUAAAUUCCAUAAAUAAUUGAAAAUCGGUGGAUCAAAUAAUUAAAUCUUAAUAAAAAUAAUCUAAUCCAUAUCCAUAUAUAUUAAAAGUUAUUGAUAUAUGGAUAACCAAUCUACCCCUAAAAUUAUAUUUUGAAUCAAUUAGAAAUAUUAAACAAAAAGGAAGACUAGUUACAACAUAUUUUUGAAAAAAUUAAGCUUCAAUGAAUGGUUGAAAGUGAAUCACAUUAAUUUUACUUUCGAGUGUUGCAUGUCACCACUAAACAUUAUCAAAUGCUCCUUGAUUAAUUAUGGUGGUUUCCUUCACACACUAAAAUUUCGGGAUUAGGAGUCACUUUGAGAAAGUCACUACCAUCUUCUGAAAACCUCCCAGUUUGUGAUUUUUCAAGAUUUUGUAAUCUGAUAUCUGGAAUUAAAAUUUUAAAUUGAUGAAGAUGUGAACAGUUAAUAGAUCAUGGGGACUUUGCGGAGGAAAACUAAGGGACAACAAUGAUUAUUGAGAAGCCGCCAAUAGAAAUUUCAACUCCAGAUAUCAUAUUAUAAAAUUUUGGUGACUUCAGAGGAUUGUAGACUAAAAUUUUAAGUAUUAAAAUCAAGUUUGAUUCUGGAAGAACAUAUACGAGAGCAUUUGAAUAUUGAGGAAAACUGAAGUUCUCGACCAGACUCUAAAGACUCAAGUCUCUAAAGGAUAUCAGACUCUGAAGGUCAGAAGUAUCUGGAAAUUACCUGACUCUGAAGAAUGAAGACUCUAAAGAACACGUCAAACUUAUCGUCUUCUGAAGAUGUCACUAUCAGACUGAGACGGUACAUUUUUUUUUCUUCUGACCACGUGCAGGAACAAACAAAGAACUUCAAAGACAAAUGAAAUGAAAUGGAUAAUUCAUUUUGAAGCAAAGAAAUUUCAAAUAUCUUUUCAACGACAUUAACCAAAUCAAGAAACAUUCUAAUGUCUAUGAUCAAGCUUCUCAAAGACCCUAAAACACGUGAUGGCACCUCUCCAACGCCUCCAAUAUCCUUCACUAUAUAAGGAGUCGAAGACUUAAAUAAAUUAACAAGACUGCUAAAAGUGCCCUUACUAUGUCAAAAUUAAUAGCGCAUUUGAACUUAGAAUUUCUUACAAAUUUUAAAUCUAAGAAAUUCGUAAGUCUUAAGAGUUUUAAUCUGUUUUGUAUUUGUUUACCUCUCUGAUUGUAUAUUAAGUGUAAAAUCAAACAAUCUUUUAUUUGAUUAAGUUGGAUUUUGCGAGAAGUCUUUUUUCAGUUGUGAUUGAGCAUUAAAGUCUCUUGCUUGUGUGCUUAAGCAUUUGUAAUUUUUAGUGAUUAUAGUGAAAAUCCCUUGGAAAUGCAAGGAGACUAGAUUACUCUCGGUUUAUGACAUGAACUAGUACAAAUUGCUCUCUCUCUCUCUCUCUCUCUCUCUCUCUCUCUCUCUCUC